AGCUGUUCAUUUUAUUUGGUUAAGAGUUUGUCUGCUAACCAAAAGAUUGGCAGUUCAAAUCUACCAGCUGCUC
rnacentral:tRNA from 1 species